ACAUCAUUGAUUAAUUAAGAAUUUACGAAUUUGCGCAGAAAGAAGCUUCGGACAUUCCUGCUAUAAAAAAUCUCAAGGACUUCACACCGCCGCGAAAAAAGAAAAAAGCAUCGGUUGUGGUCUAUGCAUUGCCGGAAAAUACAACUUAAGAAGGAUUCGGGUGCUAAUCACGUGCACAAUUUUGCACCUUGUGAUCAUCCUGGCCGUCAGUGUGAUAAUUCAUGCCCAUGUAUACAAGCACAAAACUUCUGCGAGAAGUUUUAUCAGUGCAGCAACGAAUGCCAGAACAGAUUUCCUGAGUGUAGGUGCAAGGCGCAAUGCAAUACAAAGCAGUGUCCUUGUUAUCUGGCUGUCAGGGAAUGUGAUCCGGAUCUUUGCCAAACAUAUGGUGCAGAUAAUUUCCAAAUCAAUUCUAAAUCUUGCAAAAAUGUCAGCGUGCAACGUGGUCUUCAUAAGUUUCGAAAAAUUUAAUUCAUUAGAGUGAAAAUCAGUAUAAUCUCAAUGAGUAGAAUUUUUAAUUUGAAAUAUACUUUAUAUAAUUUGAAAAAUCAGCAACGAAGAAUGAAUUCAUCUCAGAAUAUUGUGGCGAAAUUAUCAGUCAAGACAAAGCUGGGGAAGGAGGGGAAAAGUAUAUGAUAAAUAUAUGUGUAGUUUCUUUUUUAAUCUUAACAAUGAUUUUAUUGUAGACGCGACACGGAAAGGGAAUAAAAUAAAGUUCGCUAAUCACUUGAUAAAUCCAAAUUGUUAUGCGAAAGUGAUGAUGGUGAACGGUGAUCAUAGAAUAGGUAUUUUUGUUAAGAGAGCGAUUCAACCUGGUGAAGAAUUCAACCUGAUAUAGACCAACGGAACAAUUAAAAUUCGUCGGUAUCGAGCGAGAAAUGGAGUUUCUCUAUAUGUAUAUAUAUUAUAUGGACUUUUACACGUAUAAAUGGUGCAUCAAGCAAAUACAUACAGCUGAAAUAUUAGAAAGGAAAUAAACACUGCCAGACUUUGUGAUGAUAAUUACUGAGUUUAUUGAGAUUCGAGAGUACAUAUUCAACUCCUGCCCCUAAUCAUGACCCGAUAUAUUAACAAAGGAAAAUUUCGACUCAGUCACU
rnacentral:lncRNA from 1 species